GACAGAGGGUGCAAACGUUGUUCGGAAUUACUGGGCGUAAAGCGCGUGUAGGCGGCUUGGCAAGUCGGGUGUGAAAGCCCUGGGCUCAACCUAGGAAGUGCACUCGAAACUGCUUCGCUGGAGUGUCGGAGAGGAAAGCGGAAUUCUCGGUGUAGAGGUGAAAUUCGUAGAUAUCGAGAGGAACAUCGGUGGCGAAGGCGGCUUUCUGGACGAUUACUGACGCUGAGACGCGAAAGCUAGGGGAGCAAACGGG
rnacentral:rRNA from 1 species